ensembl:lncRNA
AGAGAAGAAAGUUCCUGCCACAGCCCUGCUCCUGUCCCAUAUCUCCCCCUAGAACAGGGGACCCUGCUGAGUCCUGCCCAUUCCUUCAGCCCUCAAACCCAAAUCUCCCCCAGCUGCUUUUACCCUCCUGCCCAGAAUUUAGCUGGAUGUCACCACGAGUGCCUGUGCUGCCUGCUGGGGACUGGGGUGACUUUUGCAGGUGAAGGUGGGACUGAUUUUUCUCAGCCUGAAGCCCAUCAGUAUUCAGAGCCAACCCUCCUGUGUUUGCACUCAGGGAUGGAGUUUUUGCAGCAAAUCCAGCCCUGCCUGGUGCACCCCAGCCCCAAGGAUUCCUCCAGCCUUUCCUCUCCCCUUUGAGCAUCCCCUUCAUCCCUCUCAGCUGCAGAUUUUCCUCCUGCUCUGCCCUCCAGCUCAGCCCCAACCUGAGGGAUAUUUUCCCUGUGCAGGGAUGUUUUUCCAGUGGCAGCAGCUUGGUCCAGGCUGCAGUUCCUGCCACAUAAAAGUCAGCAGCAGCCGAGCAGAGCGAUUAAUGGCAGUGGUUAAGGUUUUAUACAGAGCCUUCCAGUCUAAGUGGUGCAGGGCACUUAGGGCUGCAUCAAAACACAGCCCUUGGGUGCCUCCAGAGACAGGAAAAAACUCCCCUGGGCAACCUGAGCUGGGUUAGGGGCAUGUGGCAAGCUUUGUCCAGGACUUGGGAGGGCAAGCAGAGGGGAAAGUUGACUCCCUUCCUUCUGAGCUGCAACAGGGCACUUCAAACAGCUUUAAAAUCCUCACUUGCAGCUCUAAAAGUGACACAAAUUCAGUGGUUUGGGUUGGUUUUGUUUUGUUUUGUUUUGUUUAAGGCAUUGCUGCUGUAAUUCCUGGAUGCUCUGGGGAAGGCUUGGGGCAGAUUUGAUUUGGCUGAAGGGUGGAAACAGCCCCUAAAGAAAUCGCUGGACCUGCAACUUGAACUCCAAGGAUAGGAGAGAGGGGAAAGCCUCCCAAGAUGUGCUGAACUCCCUCCUCUUCCCUCCCUGCUGCUUUUCAACAGAAAGUCACCUUCAGCACUGAUGGCUGGAGCAGGACAAGGUGCCUGUGGUUGGAAUUAAAUCAGGUUUUAUCCAUCCUGGGGAAUCUGCACAUUGCCAAGGCUCCCACGCUCAGUGAUGUUUCUGAAAUGUCUUCAUCACAACUGUCUCAGCUGACCUGUAAUUUAAUUCUCUUCCUUUCUGUCUUAGACCUGUGCAGUUGCAUCCCUCUGCCUUUCACUGGAGCAGAAUCACAGAUACCCAACACCUCCUGCAAGCCUCUGAGGGAGGGGAUUCAGUGACUCUCCUGGAUAACUCAUUCCUCACUCCUCUCAUUAAAAACCUUUCCCUUCGACUUCACCUGGAUUGUCUUGCUGCAUUUUUCCUCUCCCACUCAUUAGAAAUAAAUAAGUGAUGAAC